UGGGAAUAUUGCACAAUGGGCGAAAGCCUGAUGCAGCAACGCCGCGUGAGUGAUGAAGGCCUUCGGGUUGUAAAGCUCUGUCUUUUGGGACGAUAAUGACGGUACCAAAGGAGGAAGCCACGGCUAACUACGUGCCAGCAGCCGCGGUAAUACGUAGGUGGCAAGCGUUGUCCGGAUUUACUGGGCGUAAAGGAUGCGUAGGCGGAUUUUUAAGUGAGAUGUGAAAUACCCGGGCUUAACUUGGGUGCUGCAUUUCAAACUGGGAAUCUAGAGUGCGGGAGAGGAGAAUGGAAUUCCUAGUGUAGCGGUGAAAUGCGUAGAGAUUAGGAAGAACACCAGUGGCGAAGGCGAUUCUCUGGACCGUAACUGACGCUGAGGCAUGAAAGCGUGGGUAGCAAACAGGAUUAGAUACCCUGGUAGUCCACGCCGUAAACGAUGAGUACUAGGUGUAGGAGGUAUCGACCCCUUCUGUGCCGCAGUUAACACAAUAAGUACUCCGCCUGGGAAGUACGAUCGCAAGAUUAGAACUCAAAGGAAUUGACGGGGUCAUAGCU
rnacentral:rRNA from 1 species